rnacentral:piRNA from 1 species
AGGCAGUGGUGGCACAUAUCUUU